UCACCCUCCUGAGUGCUGGGAUUACAGGUGUGCACUACCACACCCAGCCUCCACCCCUUUUUUUAAAAAAACUGUAUGAGGUUGGGGAUCUUGCCCAUCCAUGGAGCUUCUUAAAUAUAUGUUACAAUGCCUGUGUGCAUAAAACUGUAAGGCUCAGUCUGCAGAGACUUUUCUCCUAAUAAGGGAGUUUAUUUUUUGAAUUGUUACAACCACUGAUUCCAUCACUAAGCACCCAUACUGGAAAAUCUGAGGCAAAUGAGCCACCACCUCUCUGAUGAACUCUGCAGAUCCCAGGUGUUGAACACAGAAAAGGCCACGUCUAGCCGCUGGCCCGUGGGGUGUCUAGGGCACAGCAAUGGUGAAGACAAAUUAGACAUCUCACCACAGUGAGUCAAAAGCGAGGCCCAGAUGUGAAGCCUAGCUGCAAACCAACCAGGGUCUUCGGAAAAUCGGCCUGAGGACUUUGCGUCAUUGGGGAUCUGCCCGUGAUAGCUCACUGACUGUGUCAACUCGAGUCAGAAAUGCCCAACUAAGUUGGAUCAGCGUAAUUCUGGGAGCUGCGGUCUUUCCUUCACCUUGGACAGUCCUCAGCUUUCAGCACAGACCCUUCAGCCUUGCACCGUACACCCUUCAGCCUCCUGACGGGGACUGACACAGACACGACAGUGCGCUCCAGGCCUUCGGCUGGAUCCUUUGGGUCUCCAGCGUGCAGCCGGACCUUCUGCACUCUUCCGAACUUGACUCUGGGCGGCUGUUGUAGGCCAAUCUUGUAAAUUCUUGUAUAUUUGUAUAUCUUGCAUUACGUCUGCUUCUCAUACACUGCCACUGAAAAAGGAACUUGAACUGGA